rnacentral:rRNA from 1 species
GGGUGAGUAACGCGUGAGAAUCUACCUUCAGGUUUGGGACAACCACUGGAAACGGUGGCUAAUACCGAAUGUGCCGAGAGGUGAAAGGCUUGCUGCCUGAAGAAGAGCUUGCGUCUGAUUAGCUAGUUGGUGGGGUAAGAGCCUACCAAGGCGACGAUCAGUAGCUGGUCUGAGAGGAUGAUCAGCCACACUGGGACUGAGACACGGCCCAGACUCCUACGGGAGGCAGCAGUGGGGAAUUUUCCGCAAUGGGCGAAAGCCUGACGGAGCAAUACCGCGUGAGGGAGGAAGGCUCUUGGGUUGUAAACCUCUUUUCUCAGGGAAGAAGACAAUGACGGUACCUGAGGAAUAAGCAUCGGCUAACUCCGUGCCAGCAGCCGCGGUAAUACGGAGGAUGCAAGCGUUAUCCGGAAUGAUUGGGCGUAAAGGGUCCGCAGGUGGUAGUGUAAGUCUGCUGUUAAAGAAUCACGCUCAACGUGAUCAAAGCAGUGGAAACUACACAACUAGAGUACGGUAGGGGCAGAAGGAAUUCCUGGUGUAGCGGUGAAAUGCGUAGAUAUCAGGAAGAACACCGGUGGCGAAAGCGUUCUGCUAGACCUGUACUGACACU